UACGUAGGGUGCGAGCGUUGUCCGGAAUUAUUGGGCGUAAAGAGCUCGUAGGCGGUGUGUCACGUCGGCCGUGAAAACCUGGGGCUCAACUCUGGGCGUGCGGUCGAUACGGGCAUCACUUGAGUUCGGCAGGGGAGACUGGAAUUCCUGGUGUAGCGGUGAAAUGCGCAGAUAUCAGGAGGAACACCGGUGGCGAAGGCGGGUCUCUGGGCCGAUACUGACGCUGAGGCGCGAAAGCCAGGGGAGCGAACGGG
rnacentral:rRNA from 1 species